CCUCUUCGCGAUGACGAGAUCAUUGCGUACCUGCUGGCUGGUCUGGGCGCGGACUAUGAUCCGUUUGUCACGUCCAUGACCACACGAAGCGAGGCGUUGUCAUUAGAUGACGUCUAUGCUCAUCUGUUAUCGUAUGAAGC